CAGCCGCCGCGGUAAUACGAAGGGUGCAAGCGUUAAUCGGAAUUACUGGGCGUAAAGCGUGCGUAGGCGGUGAGUUAAGUCUGCUGUGAAAUCCCCGGGCUCAACCUGGGAAUGGCAGUGGAUACUGGCUCGCUAGAGUGUGUCAGGGGAUGGUGGAAUUCCCGGUGUAGCGGUGAAAUGCGUAGAGAUCGGGAGGAACAUCAGUGGCGAAGGCGGCCAUCUGGGACAACACUGACGCUGAGGCACGAAAGCGUGGGGAGCAAACAGGAUUAGAUACCCCCGUAGUCCCUGUCUCUUAUAC
rnacentral:rRNA from 1 species